rnacentral:rRNA from 1 species
AUUGAACGCUGGCGGCAUGCUUUACACAUGCAAGUCGAACGGUAACAGGCCGCAAGGUGCUGACGAGUGGCGCACGGGUGAGUAAUGCAUCGGAACGUGCCCAGUCGUGGGGGAUAACUACUCGAAAGAGUAGCUAAUACCGCAUACGAUCUAUGGAUGAAAGCGGGGGACCGCAAGGCCUCGCGCGAUUGGAGCGGCCGAUGUCAGAUUAGGUAGUUGGUGGGGUAAAGGCUCACCAAGCCAACGAUCUGUAGCUGGUCUGAGAGGACAACCAGCCACAGUGGGGGUGGGAUAGGGCACAGGCUCCGACGGGAGGCAGGAGGGGGGAAGUUGGGAAAAUGGGCGGAAGGUUGAUACAGGGAUGCGGCGUGCAGGAAGAGGGCCUUGGGGUUGUAAACGGCUUAUGUACGGAACGAAACGGCUAUGGUUCAGACCCGGGGGUAAUGACGGUACCGGAAGAAUAAGCACCGGCUAACUGAGU